AGACAGAGGGGGCAAGCGUUGCUCGGAAUUACUGGGCGUAAAGGGCGCGUAGGCGGGAUGGCAAGUCGGUUGUGAAAUCCUUCGGCUCAACCGAAGAACGUCGAUCGAUACUGCCAUUCUUGAGGGAUGCAGAGGAGACUGGAAUUCCCGGUGUAGCGGUGAAAUGUGUAGAGAUCGGGAGGAACACCGGUGGCGAAGGCGGGUCUCUGGGCAUCUCCUGACGCUGAGGCGCGAAAGCGUGGGGAGCAAACG
rnacentral:rRNA from 1 species